GACGAACGCUGGCGGCGUGCUUAACACAUGCAAGUCGAACGGUAAGGCCCCUUCGGGGGUACACGAGUGGCGAACGGGUGAGUAACACGUGAGCAACCUGCCCUUGACUCUGGAAUAACAGUUGGAAACAGCUGCUAAUACCGGGUAUGACCUGUCACCGCAUGGUGGUGGGUGGAAAGUUCCGGCGGUCAGGGAUGGGCUCGCGGCCUAUCAGCUUGUUGGUGAGGUAAUGGCUCACCAAGGCUUCGACGGGUAGCCGGCCUGAGAGGGCGACCGGCCACACUGGGACUGAGAUACGGCCCAGACUCCUACGGGAGGCAGCAGUGGGGAAUAUUGCACAAUGGGCGAAAGCCUGAUGCAGCAACGCCGCGUGCGGGAUGACGGCCUGG
rnacentral:rRNA from 1 species